GUCCCUGUAGUUCAAUGGACAGAACACCAGCCUUCUAAGCUGGUUACGCAGGUUCGAUUCCUGCCAGGGACA
rnacentral:tRNA from 1 species